UAAUAAUAAUAAUAAUAAUACCUCAUUUAGAAACAGUGGAUGCACAAGUCAAAACCACACAUUCAUACCAUACAUACUAAUAAUAUACAAAUAUUUCCACAGGUAACAAUGCUUAUCAAAUACCAACAAUGGUAGACGAAAUACCACAAGGGUACAUAAUGAUUAUCAAAUACCAACAAUGGUAGAUGGACUACCACAAGGGUAAAUAAAUGACAACUAAUCCAACAAUCUACACAACAUGAAUACAAUCAAACCUCAUUGUCAUUGUAAUGACAUUAACUUUUUUACUCACUAGCCAGAGUGGCUAGUGCUUCAUCAUAGUCACUAGCCACGCAGCAUUGUUGUUGGGAAAUUACGCUUUAUACAAUUAAAGUUGACAAUAGCAUGCUUAAAUUGGCGUGCUAAAAUGUACUAAUAUUAUCAUUAGCUCCGAUAAGGUUGUGUGUAAAACUCCCUUUUGUUGAAAAAAUAGUCUAUUAAGAUAAACACAUUAAAAUAGCAGCUUCUUAUUGUAUAUAAUAAAAGUGCUGCAUGGGUGUAAAAGAUUAACUGAAAAGGUAAAAACUAAACUAAAAACAAAAUUCACCAGAAACAUUGUUUAAAUGCUAUUUAUUUAUAAAAGCAGCAGGUUAAAUACUGUAAAACAGAGUAGAAAAAUUAUCUGCAUUAGAAACAAAGAGCAAAGGUGAAAAAAUCACACACAAUUAAGGCAAUAGGAUUAAAAUGUUAUGUAUAGGCCUAUAUCAUUUUUGUGCACUUUUGGAGUGUUUGUUUUGCAUCUGCAUUUCCUCAGAGCUCUGACUGGAUUUAUGUUUAUCAUCAUGAAGCUCUGAGUAACUGGAGAUAUGAAUUGAGUAUACAGGUCUUUAUUUUCCAGAUUAUUCCCCUACAAACGCAUCUUCUGCUUUCAUUCAUGGCAUGAAAACUUUUUAUUAAACCAUAGAAUCAACUCUGGAAAGGUAGUUGUGAUAUGACGAUUUGAAGGGCAGCCCUGCUAGUAGUCUGUUUUCUUUUAUAAACACCAGCAUGUCCCUUAAUCAUGAAGAUAUCGAUAUUUUACAGCAUUUAAUGGUACUUUCCUGCUGCUUUUCUCCGCCUCUGCUCUGCCUGUUCUCUUUCCUUCGUUCUCCUGUGCAUUUUCUCUCCACACUCCUCUGCCACGCACUGACUGAACACUGUGUUGAUGUGCGUGUGCAUGCGACCAGUCGCGUGUGAUGACCAUAAACUGUAUAUAAGAAGGUGACGACAGAGAUCAAAACAUCAAAUUAAAAGCGACCGGGAGGCUAACAGUCUACAGAUGCAGAGAUGAUGAGGGUGGACUGGACAGUGUGUUCGAGAAGAUCGAGGUAAUUGUCCUGGCUGCUCAGGGUUGUCUGAGGUGACAACUCCCAUUCAGGGACUCUCUGACCUGCUCCAUCGAAACAGGAACACAACAUUUACUGACCGAAGAACAGUCCAGAAAUGUUAGGGAUACAUUCACUUGUCUGGUUUACAGAGGAAUCAUGGAAGAUCCAGUAUUUGCAGCAUGCUGUGGAAGUUUGGUCGGAUGCAGAUCCUGCACUACUGUGUGGCUUCAGAAUUCCUCAAUGUGUUUGAAGUGUCAAGCGGAUGAUUUUUCCAUCAACAUUCACAGAGUCACUGGCCUUUCUGGUGUAGUAAAUGUCAUGAGAGAGCUGGCACACGAAGAGUAAAUGCUGCUUUUCUGCUUGCCACCAAUCCUUAUUUGUCAGUGUUAUAUCAUGUUAUAAAUACUUUUGAUAUUGAGGACUGAUGUUUUUUAUGUCGCAUCUUAGUUCUGGAGUUUUAAGAGCUAGAAAAUGUAACGAUGUUUUAUGUUACAUCAUUGUUCCCACCUCACAGUAGUUUUAUAAGAGCUAGUAGGUCUAAAUGUGGCAAGAUGUUUUUAUGCUACAUUAUUGUUCUCAGCCCACAGUGAUUUUAUAAGAGCUAGUAGGCCUAAACAUGGCAAUAUGUUGUGACAGGCUCUUCUGUGGAGAUUUGCAAAGCUGGACUUACUUUGUUUGUCUGAUUAUUCUUUCUGUACAAACGCAAAAUAAAUAUAUUUCUUCUCCAUAAAA